rnacentral:rRNA from 1 species
AUUGGACGCUGGCGGCAUGCUUUACACAUGCAAGUCGAACGGUAACAGGCCUUCGGGUGCUGACGAGUGGCGAACGGGUGAGUAAUGCAUCGGAACGUACCCAGAGGUGGGGGAUAACGCAGCGAAAGCUGUGCUAAUACCGCAUGUGAUCUGAGGAUGAAAGCGGGGGACCGAGCAGCAAUGUUUGGCCUCGCGCCUUUGGAGCGGCCGAUGUCGGAUUAGCUAGUUGGUGGGGUAAAGGCCUACCAAGGCGACGAUCCGUAGCUGGUCUGAGAGGACGACCAGCCACACUGGGACUGAGACACGGCCCAGACUCCUACGGGAGGCAGCAGUGGGGAAUUUUGGACAAUGGGCGCAAGCCUGAUCCAGCAAUGCCGCGUGCGGGAAGAAGGCCUUCGGGUUGUAAACCGCUUUUGGCAGGAACGAAACGGUGUCCGCUAAUACCGGGCGCUAAUGACGGUACCUGCAGAAUAAGCACCGGCUAACUACGUG